GGUAGUAGGGGGACAACGUUUCGAAAGGAACGCUAAUACCGCAUACGUUCUACGGGAGAAAGCAGGGGACCUUCGGGCCUUGCGCUAUCAGAAGAGCCUAGGUCGGAUUAGCUAGUUGGUGGGGUAAUGGCUCACCAAGGCGACGACCCGUAACUGGUCUGAGAGGAUGAUCAGUCACACUGGAACUGAGACACGGUNCCAGACUCCUACGGGAGGCAGCAGUGGGGAAUAUUGGACAAUGGGCGAAAGCCUGAUCCCAGCCAUGCCGCGUGUGUGAAGAAGGUCUUCGGAUUGUAAAGCACUUUAAGUUGGGGAGGAAGGGCAGUAAGCUAAUACCUUGGUUGUUUUGGACGUUACCGACAGAAUAAGCACCGGCUAACUCUGUGCCAGCAGCCGCGGUAAUACAGAGGGUGCAAGCGUUAAUCCGGAAUUACUGGGCGUAAAGCGCGCGUAGGUGGUUUGUUAAGUUGGAUGUGAAAGCCCCGGGCUCAACCUGGGAACUGCAUCCAAAACUGGCAAGCUAGAGUACGGUAGAGGGUGGUGGAAUUUCCUGUGUAGCGGUGAAAUGCGUAGUGG
rnacentral:rRNA from 1 species